ensembl:lncRNA
AAAGGGUAUCAUAACUGGCUGCACAAUCUCCCCCAUCCUCUUUGUCAUGGGAAUGAACCUCCUAAUAACAGCUGUGGAGAAAGAAGCACGGGGUCCAAAAAUGGAGUCAGGCAUCCAACAACCCCCAAUAAGAGGUUACAUGGACGACCUUACCGUGACGACCACAACCCAUGUGGAGGCGAGGUGGGUGCUAACUGUUCCGGGCCACAUGGCAACGUGGGCCAGAAUGAAGAUUAAGCCAAAGAAAUCCAGGAGUUUGGUGAUCAGGAACGGGAAGUUGACCAACAGGUUCAAGAUGCAUGUGCAAGGGGAAGUGAUUCCAUCGAUAGAGGAGAAUCCAAUCAAGUGCCUCGGAAAGUGGUUCGAUGACUCACUUACUGACAGGAACAACAUAGCCAGUACGGAAAAGCAGAUGGAGGAAUGGCUGAGGAGGAUCGAAAAAUCAGGGCUCCCUGGGAAGUUUAAAGUUUGGCUCUAUCAACAUGGACUGUUGCCAAGACUCAUGUGGUUGCUGACUGUGUACGAGGUCCCAAUGACAUGCGUUGAAGGAGUGGAGAGGAAGAUCAAUAAGUACCUCCGAAAGUGGUUGGGAAUCCCUCCAAGCUUCACUUCAGUAGGCCUCUAUAUAAGAUCAGGGCAGCUCCAACUUCCUCUGUCAUCCGUAGUUGAGGAAUUCAAAGUUGCAAAGUGCAGAGUCGUAAUGACAUACAGAGACUCACAGGAUAAACAAGUUAGACAUGCAGGCGUCAUCACAAGAUCAGGUCACAAGUGGGCAGCUGAUUUGUCUGUUGCAAAAGCUGUGAGCAUGUUGAAGCUACGUGAUGUCAUUGGAGCGCCAUGCACAGGAAGACAGGGUCUUGGAACCUCACAUUUCCAACAGUGGAGGAAGGCAGGAACCAGUGAAAGAAGAGCCAUGAUUCAAGAGGAGGUACAGAACCUGGAAGAGGAAGGACGUAGAUCAAGGGCAGUGGACCUAGCUUCACCAGGGGCCUGGACCAGAUGGGAUCUUCCGAAGAGGAAGAUUACCUGGGCAGACCUAUGGAGACUGGAGCCGUUCUGCAUCUCCUUCCUGCUGAGGUCAGAAUAUGACACACUCACAACCCCAACAAACCUGCACAAGUCGGGUAUGAGAGAGGACCCAUUGUGCAGGCUCUGUGGGGAGAGGGGCACCAUGGCACACAUCCUGGCCGGGUGUAAAAAAGCGCUCACCCAGGGAAGGUACAGGUGGCGCCACGAUAGGGUGCUCAUGACACUUGCCAACACCUUAGAGCAGGAGAGGAAAAAGAAACGCCAACCACUUCGGAAAACAACUUCAAGUUUAUAAGGGAGGGGGAAAAGCCACCAACCACAGCAACAACAAGAACCAGCCUGCUACAAAAGGCCCAAUCAUGGGAAAUGAAGGUCGACCUGAGAGGAAGGCUGCAAUUCCCCCAAUUUGUCCAGACAACCCUGAGGCCAGAUGUGGUACUGUGGUCUGAAGAGGGAAAAAAGAUCAUCCUCAUAGAACUUAAAGUCCCAUGGGAAGAGGGGUGUGAACAGGUCUUUGAAAGAAAGAGCGCCAAAUACCAAGACCUGCUGCACGACUGUAAGGGGAAAGGAUGGCAGGCUUGGCUGUUCCCGGUCGAGGUCGGCUGUAGAGGAUUCCCUGCUCAGUCGGUGUGGAGAAUGCUCACCGCCAUUGGAAUAACAGGGAAGGAGAGGAAGGCAGCAGCUCGAAGGAUGGGGGAGGCAGCGAAAAGAGCCUCUUGCUGGUUAUGGAGCAGGAGGGAGGAGUUGAGCUGGAAGCCAGGAGGGGAAGAUGGGCAGUGACUUGGCCAUCACUGCCGAC